AUUGAACGCUGGCGGCAGGCCUAACACAUGCAAGUCGAUCGAGCGGCGGACGGGUGAGUAAUGUAUGGGGACUGCCCGAUAGAGGGGGAUAACUACUGGAAACGGUGGCUAAUACCGCAUACUAUCGGAUAACCCAUAUGGGAUUAGCUAGUAGGUGGGGUAAAGGCUCACCUAGGCGACGAUCUCUAGCUGGUCUGAGGGGAUGAUCAGCGACACUGAGCCGGAGACACGGCCCAUGCUCAUACGGAGGCAGAAGUGGGGAAUAUUGCACAAUGGGCGCAAGACUGAUGCAGCCAAGCCGCGUGUAUGAAGAAGGCCUUAGGGUUGUAAAGUACUUUAAGCGGGAAGGCGUUACCCGCAGAAGAAGCACCGGCUAACUCCGUGCCAGCAGCCGCGGUAAUAC
rnacentral:rRNA from 1 species